AGAGUUUGAUCAUGGCUCAGGAUGAACGCUGGCGGCGUGCUUAAUACAUGCAAGUCGAACGAAGUUUUCUCGCCGAAGUUUACUUCAUUGAGAAAACUUAGUGGCGGACGGGUGAGUAACGCGUGGGUAACCUGCCUUACACAGGGGGAUAACAGUUAGAAAUGACUGCUAAUACCGCAUAAGCGCACAGAAUCGCAUGAUUCAGUGUGAAAAGAUUUAUCGGUGUAAGAUGGACCCGCGUCUGAUUAGCUAGUUGGUGAGGUAACGGCCCACCAAGGCGACGAUCAGUAGCCGGCCUGAGAGGGUGAACGGCCACAUUGGGACUGAGACACGGCCCAAACUCCUACGGGAGGCAGCAGUAGGGAAUAUUGGACAAUGGGGGAAACCCUGAUCCAAGCGACGCCGCGUGAGUGAAGAAGUAUUUCGGUACGUAAAGCUCUAUCAGCAGGGAAGAAAAUGACGGUACCUGACUAAGAAGCACCGGCUAAAUACGUGCCAGCAGCAGC
rnacentral:rRNA from 1 species